CCUACGGGGUGCAGCAGUGGGGAAUAUUGGACAAUGGGGGAAACCCUGAUCCAGCGACGCCGCGUGAGUGAAGAAGUAUUUCGGUACGUAAAGCUCUAUCAGCAGGAAAGAAAAUGACGGUACCUGACUAAGAAGCCCCGGCUAACUACGUGCCAGCAGCCGCGGUAAUACGUAGGGGGAAAGCGUUAUCCGGAUUUACUGGGUGGAAAGGGAGCGUAGACGGCAGCGCAAGUCUGGAGUGAAAUGCCGGGGCCCAACCCCGGAACUGCUCUGGAAACUGUGAAGCUGGAGUGCAGGAGAGGUAAGCGGAAUUCCUGGUGUAGCGGUGAAAUGCGUAGAUAUCAGGAGGAACACCGGCGGCGAAGGCGGCCUGCUGGACUGCGACUGACGUUGAGGCCCGAAAGCGUGGGGAGCAAACAGGAUUAGAUACCCCUGUAGUC
rnacentral:rRNA from 1 species